GUUGGCAUUACAGUACUCAUAUAAGAGCUAGUCACUGAUUGGCUGAGAGGACACACUCUGUACACAGGAAAACCACACUUCCUGUUGUUGUUGCCAAGGUGCUGUCAUUCAGCCUGAGGAAGAGAGUCCAAAUGUUAUUAUUGAUGGUAUAGGUCUCACACUCUGCUGGUAUUGAUGGAUGGUAUAGGUCUCACUCUGCUGGUAUUGAUGGAUGGUAUAGGUCUCACACUCUGCUGGUAUUGAUGGUUGGUAUAGGUCUCACUCUGCUGGUAUUGAUGGAUGGUAUAGGUCUCACUCUGCUGGUAUUGAUGGAUGGUAUAGGUCUCACACUCUGCUGGUAUAGGUCUCACUCUGCUGGUAUUGAUGGAUGGUAUAGGUCUCACUCUGCUGGUAUAGGUCUCACUCUGCUGGUAUUGAUGGUUGGUAUAGGUCUCACUCUGCUGGUAUUGAUGGAUGGUAUAGGUCUCACUCUGCUGGUAUUGAUGGAUGGUAUAGGUCUCUUCUUCUUCUUCUUUGGUCUCCUCUGUCCCUGACGAGGCGUUAAACAGGUCUCCUUCCUC
rnacentral:lncRNA from 1 species